CCGCUCCGGGGACCUCCACAGCUCCAUAGCUCCAUGGUGACACGAAUAAAAGAGAUUCCUGCAUGAAAAACAAAGGAAGUAGCACUGCAGGGCUUCGCCGCUUCGCCUCUUUCUUGAUGUACUUCCUGUGUCUUCUCUCUAGCCUUUUCUGCUUCUCCUCCACCUCUGCUUCUGCUCCGCUCCCCCCUUUGUUGUAGAGAGCGUGCCUUUUUAUAGGCAACAAUGAAUCAGUUUGAGAUAGGAUAGCUACCAAUUCAAAUUCAAAUUGCAGUUAUAAUCACAUUUGUCAAUUUGAAAUGAAUAUAGCAGUAACCAGCUUUCUCGUUGAAGCUUCUGGUGGCUUUUGUGAAUUUCAAACUUCUUUUAUCUUGA